rnacentral:misc_RNA from 1 species
AUUGUUAAAGGCUGGUAGUAGAUUUUGAAUGAACAUUUGAAUAUGGAUGUAUAUCAGUUAGUCUAAUUAAUUCAGAAUUUUACGAGACCGCGAAAGGCAAUGAACACGGCAUUGAUGAAUUAGAAGCAUUGGGUUCAUCUGACAUGUAGAUUUCUGCAUUUGCAUUGGUGGCUACUGUAAAUUUGGUCUCAAAGUUGUAAGAAUGAUAUCUUGCUUCGUUUGUCAAUUUUAAGGAACUGUACUGGAUUUGUUCUGGAGAACAUAGUGUUACGUCUUCUCUGUCCGGUGAGUAAAAAAUGUAGGGAAACGAGCAUACUGUUGAUGAAGGCAUGACCUGUCAUCGUCGCAACUGAAAUAUGAUUUCUAAUGUAGAGGUUUAACACUGUAAAACUCUUUUAACUGUUGGUAUAGUCUAACUGUUGCAUCUGAUAUGAAAACUUUCUAAUACGCUGGCAAAAUAAUAUCCACCCCG